UGAACAGAAGGCCCGCGAAUCGAGCGUUCAUUACUUUCAGUUGAAGUCACGAAGGAUAAUCGAACAUACUCAAUACGACGACGUUUGGAUUGUCCGCUACAGUAGUAUGCUGCAGAGAGAAAAUAGUUGCACUGAGUCACAGACUCACAGACUUACAGUUGCCGGCAGACCCCAAUUCCAGUAAUGAACGUCGACGUUUCAAAUCAUCUCCAAAUUCCAAUCCAUUUAGAUCUCAAGCUCGAAUUCGAACUGGUUCAAAUCUGCACCAAUGCCUCAAGCACACUGGUUCCAAUCUCUGAGAUCCGAAGCUUCUCAUUCUGAUUGAUUCGAAUAAAAGCAAUAUUCACAUGGGGGUGGUGAUUGAAAGCUCUGUUUGGGAGCCAAAUCCUGGCCUUUACAUAUUCAUCUUCUUCGCCUCUCUCUUCUCCAUCCUCGCCUUCCCUUACGCUUCAAACAAGUACAGCAGCACUGGCAGCAGCAGCAGCAGCAGCUCCAGCAAAGCUCCGUCGCUCUUCGACCAUGGAAUCUCCCCCACCGCCUCCUCUCUCCGCUUCCAGAGGAACUUCCUUCUUAUCUAUUCUCUGGCCUCAGUAAUGGAGGGACUGUGGUCUGUAUUUGGUGAGUUUGAGUUAGCUUACUACGGUUUAAGCAGAGAGCAAAUGAUGUUUUCUCUCUGUGUUGGAUUUGCAGCUUCUCUUUUAAUUGGUUCCUUCUUAGGCGUACUUUCUGAUUUAAUAGGUCCAAAGAAAGUUUGUUUCCUCUUUUGCAUUCUACACCUCUUUCUUGGCUUGUGGAAGAGAAUUAUUGAUCAUCCAAGUGUUUUGGCGGCGAGUAUUUGUUUGUCUCUCGCAGCUUCGAUUUUUUCUUUCAGUUUCGAGACGUGGAUGGUAGUUCAACAUGAAGAGCAAGGGCACAGGCAAGAUAUGUUGAGUGAGACUUUUUGGUUGAUGAGUUUCUUUGAGUCCGCAUCUCUCAUUGGAAGCCAGGUGCUUUCAAAUUGGCUCAUUGGUAAUAAUGUGGACAAAAACAUGGCAUCCCAUUCCACUGCAGCCAUCUUUUUGGCAAUAAUUGCCUUGGUUUGUCUUCUCAGAGGAUGGACAGAAACCCCACAGAAAGUAGCUCUUAAGGAGUAUAGGGCGUCUUUCUCUACAUAUGUUUUUGGUGAUAAAAGAAUAUGGCUUUUGGUGUGGGCACAGGCUUGCCUUCACUUCUCUGUAGCAGUCUUCUGGAUACUAUGGGCCCCUACUAUAGUGGCUGAUGGACGAGAAGUGCACCUAGGGUUGAUAUAUCCAUGUUUUUUGGGCUCAAGAAUGCUUGGAAGCACAAUAUUUCCGUGGCUCAUUAGUGGACUGUCAUCCCUGAGAACUGAGGAUUGCCUAGUAUUUGCAUUCAUUAUAAUGGGGCUUGUAUUGUCCAUAACAGCGUAUGAUUAUCAGGAAAUUGGAGUAUUAGUGACAUUAUUUUGCAUAUUUCAUGCCGGUCUUGGCAUGAUUUUUCCUUCACUAGCCAGAUUGAGGACAAUGUAUGUGCCUAAUGCACUGCGUGGGGGGAUGAUAAGCCUUUCUCAAGCCCCAGCAAAUGCAGCAAUUCUGCUUUUUCUGGUGCAAGGAAAAUACUACAAUAACAUCGGGAACUCAACAAUCAUAGCGUUUGCUGCCCUUGGACUAUUCACAGCAGCUGGUUGCAUGCAUGUCUUGAAACGAUGGGGGAAGCAACCAUAUCAGAACUGGCAUAAACUCUGAUUUUAUACCAAAUCAUCAGCGAGCUUAUUGGCUGAGUUGGUGAGUUCUGGAGAUCAUUACUGACUAGCAGAACUGAGUAUUUCUAAGAAUUUCUGUGCCUCUGAAUUCCACCUGAGGAAUCAACUGAAUGACUAUGUGCAAGACGGAAACCAGUUAUCGGUUCCUUGUCACCGAGUUCAAUUCAAGUUGCCAAACCCAUCUGAGCCUCUUAACUUUCUGGGCAGGUCUGGUGGUUAGGCCGGAGAAGAUGGGAUUUACAUGUUUACCAUCAGCCCUCCGCGCAGUUUAGGGAUUUAGACCUCAGCAGUAGAGGCGAGAACUGCAAGUUUUUGUGAUCCUCAUUUUGAAGAUUUGUUUGUAAGUUUUGCACUAAACUGACACAAUUAGCAGUUUAGUUUGGCAAAAUUGUACUUAAAUUGUGGAACAGAAUGGAAAUGUCUAAAUUAUUGCCAGAUUUCUUUGAUGAUUGGA